GCCCCUGUAGCUUAACGGAUAAAGCAGUCCCCUUCUAAGGGAAAGACUGGAAGUUCGAUUCUUCCCAGGGGCACAA
rnacentral:tRNA from 3 species